UACGAAGGUCCCAAGCGUUAUCCGGAUUUAUUGGGUUUAAAGGGUGCGUAGGCGGGUUAUUAAGUCAGUGGUGAAAGCCUACAGCUUAACUGUAGAACUGCCAUUGAUACUGAUGAUCUUGAGUAUGAUUGAGGUGGGCGGAAUGUGUCAUGUAGCGGUGAAAUGCUUAGAUAUGACACAGAACACCGAAUUGCGAAGGCAGCUCACUAAUCAAUAACUGACGCUGAUGCACGAAAGCGUGGGGGAGCAAA
rnacentral:rRNA from 1 species